UGUGAUGGACCGUAACUUUAUUUUACCCCGGAACAUCCCUUUAAAGGAAAAUAAAAUAAAAUUACCAGUUGAAAUGUGUUUUUAAAUUCUGGAGCACACAGAGCAGCAACCUCAGGAGGUUAAAUGUGCACUCUCGUUGUGCAAAUAACACAUCUAGAACAACAAAUAAGAUGAUUCUUCAGUGCACUAGUCAUAGCUGAAUGCUUCCUCUCCUUUCCUUUCCCACCUUGUCAUUGCUCUCUCCUUGUUUUCUCCUCGUUCAUCUUCUCGUCCCAUUAAUUGUUAUCACCUGUCAUUACAAUGCAAAGCUUAGACAUCAACUCUGGCAGCCCAGACAAAGACAGCCUCUCUUUUCUGCUCUCCAUCCUUCUUCUUCACACUCCAUUCUCCAUCACCUUCUCCCUCUGGUCUUCUUCACCUUGUCUUCUGCCCUGCCUCAGUCAUAACUCUUUCUUUUCCAGCCCCUCACUCCUCAUCAGUGUUUGGAGUCACAUUUCUGUUUAGAUAAGAUACAAAUCCUUGAGGCUGAGUGCAAGAAAGUGGAGAAAAUAAAAGAUUAAAGCUCUGAUUUUAGCUCUUGACUGCAACAGUCUUCUACUUUUGGAAAAACAGAGCUACAUAUCCUGAGAAGUGAUCUCAGCUUUAGGUCUGUUGAGCUGGACAUCAUAUAUUCACAUAAUAACUGCUCUGUUUACGCCAUAUAUGUACAUGAUUUAAAUAUAAGCUUGCAUUCCAGGCUAGUAUUGUGAAAGACUCUAGAAAGUAUUAGUUCUCUUAAUAAACAUAUAAAAGGUCAAAAUGUAUGGGAUAAGCUUAUGAAAUGCAAGCUACAAUUCACAGUUUACCUGUGUAAAUAUCCAAGACAGCACAGCAUUUAUCUGAGAGACUGAACGGUGUUUGAUGAGUAGCCUGAGUCUGACAUCCAUCAGCUUUGGCAGCACCUCCCAAACUCUUCAUUCAGAGUCAGCAAUUGCUUAUUCAGCAACAACACAACACUCCCCUUAAUGGUUUUGUUUCCUGUCAAAUACUCAAUAAGCAACAAGUGAAUUUCUCUGCCCUCUCUUACAAAGGGGCUGAGUAUACAUCUUGCAAAGGUUAAGGCUCUUGAUGAGCUCCCCAUAUCAGCUGGGUGUGAAUGAGGAUUUUCUGCAGCCAGCCAGACCUGCAACAAGUUUUCAAAAAAGAGCCUGUUCUCACUUUUGUGGACCUAAACUAACCCCCUGUGGACACAUUUAAUUGGAUAUCGUUGUCUCCAACAGGAACUAUAAUACACCUGCUGUUCUUCAGAUUAUAAAUGCAGAAUGACUUAUUAUGUAUAUGUUUAGUUAAUGUGUGUUCUGUCAGGACAUGGGAGUAUGCUGAGUGAAGUUUUAGCAGAGCAGAACCUAUUAAUUUCUGGGCUAUGUUGUGGUCUUAUAUAAGGUUAUUAUAAACUUGCUUCCCUGUUUAAUAUUUAGUUUUAUCAUUGUCAUUAUUAAAAAGAAAAUAGCACUAAACUUUUCACUCUGUAACUCAGUCCCAUGACUUAUUUUGACUGUGUGUCCUCAGAGUGCACCUAGAAAUGGACAAAAAUGUUUCAGGUCUUGAGGGAUUUGGGUCUAAGGGAACUUGACUGUCUUUGACUUUGUUGAAACAUGCAGCAGCUAAUCUCAGUCAGGACACUCUGUAAAAAAUGAUAGUUUCAAUCAUGUUUCCCGGUAAAAUUCAUUUAUUCAUAAUGAAAAUAGUUUAGCCUCUCAGAAAUCUUUCUCCCACUUCCAGUUAAAACUUUUUAAAUAAACAUGUUUCUGUUCCCUAACAUCUGACCCCUUUCUAUCAGGACAUGGAUAAGAAGAAGAAGAAGAAACAAACAUUCAAAGAAACAUUAACAGUCCUCUUUUUAAUUCUUCCUCUGUCCUCCUCUUGUCUCUUUUUUCUUUCCUCCUCCUCCCUCUGAUGCUGCAGUUGGAUCUGUUGUGUUUUGUCAUCUGGGUCGUCCGAAUAUCUCUGCUCCUCUUGUUUUCCUCUCUGUUUUUCUUUGUCCGCCUCCCUCUUUCUCCUCUUCCUCUUUCUCUCGUGACAAUCGACAGGCAGUGUUUUUUUGUCUGUGUGCCAUUUUUCAGGCGGACAGCCUCUGAUUCAUGUGCCCAUCAUCCCGUCGGCCUGAGGGCCAUCAGGCCGGCCACAAAAGAGGAAGGCAGUGGAGCGUCUCUUUCUCCUCUGUCUGCACUCCUUUUCAUCGCUCUCUCCCUGACUCGUGUCUCUUUCUUCUCCUGUCAUUUUGUCCUGUUUCUACUGGAGGUCUCUCUCUGUCAGUUUUUCUCCUGCCGUCGACUGCACACCAUCUAUUCAUCAGUCUCUCAGCUCCUCUCUCCCCUUUAUCUGUUUGUUUUUUAUGAUCUUUCUCUCCUUUGGUCUCUGUCUGAAUUCAACCUUCAGUCAUCACGUUCACCUUACAGAGCGGUGAAAAACGUGGGGCGGUCUAAUGGAUUAUUUUCACAUCUGAACAUGUUCGUGUUGUCAGGUCUGACUGAGGAGAACGACUGGAGCCAGGUUUGACUGACAUGAUGCUCUGAAACAUGAGGCUGUCUUUGUUCAGCUUGAAAGUUUGACCAAACCAACAUCCCAAACAGCAAC